GACGAACGCUGGCGGCGUGCCUAAUACAUGCAAGUCGAACGCUUUUUUUUUCACCGGAGCUUGCUCCACCGAAAGAAAAGGAGUGGCGAACGGGUGAGUAACACGUGGGUAACCUGCCCAUCAGAAGGGGAUAACACUUGGAAACAGGUGCUAAUACCGUAUAACAAUCGAAACCGCAUGGUUUCGGUUUGAAAGGCGCUUUUGCGUCACUGAUGGAUGGACCCGCGGUGCAUUAGCUAGUUGGUGAGGUAACGGCUCACCAAGGCAACGAUGCAUAGCCGACCUGAGAGGGUGAUCGGCCACAUUGGGACUGAGACACGGCCCAAACUCCUACGGGAGGCAGCAGUAGGGAAUCUUCGGCAAUGGACGCAAGUCUGACCGAGCAACGCCGCGUGAGUGAAGAAGGUUUUCGGAUCGUAAAACUCUGUUGUUAGAGAAGAACAAGGAUGAGAGUAGAAUGUUCAUCCCUUGACGGUAUCUAACCAGAAAGCCACGGCUAACUACGUGCCAGCAGCCGCGGUAAUACGUAGGUGGCAAGCGUUGUCCGGAUUUAUUGGGCGUAAAGCGAGCGCAGGCGGUUUCUUAAGUCUGAUGUGAAAGCCCCCGGCUCAACCGGGGAGGGUCAUUGGAAACUGGGAAACUUGAGUGCAGAAGAGGAGAGUGGAAUUCCAUGUGUAGCGGUGAAAUGCGUAGAUAUAUGGAGGAACACCAGUGGCGAAGGCGGCUCUCUGGUCUGUAACUGACGCUGAGGCUCGAAAGCGUGGGGAGCAAACAGGAUUAGAUACCCUGGUAGUCCACGCCGUAAACGAUGAGUGCUAAGUGUUGGAGGGUUU
rnacentral:rRNA from 1 species